rnacentral:misc_RNA from 2 species
GUACCCUCAAGCUUUGCUUGGUGUUGGGCGUUUUGUCUUUGCUCGCCAAAGACUCGCCUUAAAACGAUUGGCAGCCGACCUCUUGGUUUCGCAGCGCAGCACAAUUUUGCGCUUGCAAAUCAGCAAGUUGGCACUCCAUCAAGAACAUUUUCUUAC